AUACAUUUCUCUCACAUAAAUAGUGUGUGAAUUUCACACAUGCACUAUUCAUGUGAGGGGGAUGUAUCUUACAUGCAUGUAAGAUAGGGUUUGCCAUUUUAAUGUUUUCCGAAAUAUAUUUCAGGAUCUUUUUCCCUGUUUUGGUAAGAGUAAUCAAAACGUACGGUGGAUGAGAUUUGAACGCUCUUAUAGUACGACAAUCGGCGUUGAUCAAUCACGGAGAUAGAGGUCCCUUGAUUUGUCAUCAAUUAAUAUUUAAUUGAUGACAUGUAUGCAUGUGCGUAUCUGGGAGCAGCAAGGCGGCUGGCCGUUGCUUGCUUUUUCUGAUUUACAUUAUAUUUGUGGUAAUUUUUCUUUUUCUGUUUCCACCAUCGUAUUCGUACGUGAGAUUUGAUGUUAAACUCUUUUACUGAUUUGCAGUUGGCUCAAAUUUAAUUGUAAAGUGGGAGAAUAAGGUCAGUUAUGGAAAUUAAGUCGAGUUGAAACAAUUCUCUUUUGUCAACUUGCAUCGAGAAAAAUGGCCAUUAGGCCCAUUACAGGAUAUUUGCUAGCGGGAAGCGAAUAGCAAAAGAAAUUACGUCAAAUUUAACACUUUGAUUCUUUAUGUUUCUUUUAUAUUAAAUUUAGAUUUGCGAGUUUAUCUGGAGAAAGUGAUAUAUUACAGUUGACUAAGUUGAUUAUAUGACCAAGUUCUUUGUGAAAAUAGAAUCCUCUCUUAAUCUAAUACUUGAUACUCUUGAAUUUUUAACGAUCU
rnacentral:lncRNA from 1 species